GCCUACCUCCCCCCCAUCUGUGUGUGUGUGUGUGUGUGUGUGUGUGUGUGUGUAUGUGUGUGUGUGUGCAUGUAUCUGCACCCUUGCCCAUGUGUGCCUCCUGAGAGUGUACCCAGGGUUGCAUGCAUUUUGGACAAGCAUGCCACCAACUGUGAGCUACAUUGAUAAUCCAGGUGAAUCACUGCUUAGGACAUCUUCCAGUUUUCUUUGCCUGCAUUUUUCUUGUGUUCAUUGUGAACUGCCUGCAAGCAAUUGACUCUGUAAAUAUUUUUGUAUUUUCCCAAGCAAGAAAAAAAUGCCGUGUGGCUACUUUUCCAAGAGAAGUGAUGGGUCUCUGCUUUGGAAGACAGGAUCUUCCUACUCAGAGGUUACUUAACUUACUGCUUUACAGAAGAUGAAAAGGGGGUUCACUCAAACUUUCAGUGUCCCUUAGAAACUAACAAAAAGUCAGCCUGUGUGGUAGAUUGAAUGAGAAUGCCCUCAUGGGCUCAUACAUAUGAAUGCUUGAUUCCCCAUUGGUGGGUGGCUUAGAAGUGUGGCCUUGUUGGAUAACAAAUAAAUAAAAUAAAUCACUGUGGGGUGGGCUUUGAGGUUUCAAAAACCCACACCAAACCCAGUCUCUCUGUCUCCCUCGCUCCCUCUUCCUCUCCACCCUCCCUGUCUUCUGCCUGCCACGAGGAUUUCAGCUCCCAGCUACUGCUCCAGGGCCAAGUCUGCUGCCAUAUUUCCAACUCUGAUGUUCAUGGACUAACCCUCUGAAACUGUCUCUCAGGAAUGGUAAAGCCCAAUGCUGGAAAUCAGAACCUUUCCUCAAAUGCUGUGGCUGUAGCUUCGGCGUGAGAAGAUGCUGAUGCGUGACCUGGCCAGCCGCGUGAGGGUCGCUCACCUUCAGGGUACCUUCUGUCUGUCACACAGCAAUUGUGCUUUAAGUUUUCUAGUCUACUUGGGGAGGAAUAAAGAAUGAAUUUCUGCUCAUUCCUCA